rnacentral:misc_RNA from 1 species
CGGUAUUGGUCCGCCUUUGCAACGAAAUUUGUAUCAAUUGGGAAAGAACUAGCGUGUGCAUCUUAUGGCGUUCUGACCCUGAGUCCUCAGUCCUCAUCCAAACUGCCCUUCGCUACUGCUGCCUCCCUCUAAUAAUCGAAAAUAUAGUUUUUUUUGUAGCUAGAACUAGAAGACAGUAUUGAGCAAGAAAGUAGAAGAUGUUUGGAUCUGCAGUUAGAUACUUUUCAACGAAACCAAAGCCCAAAAUGAAACCUAUAGAGCUCAAAACACCACCUGAGCAGACACAUACCAUAACAAGGGCAAUCUUUGACAUUGUGAAGGAGCAUGGCCCUCUUACCGUUUCAGAAACUUGGGAAAGGAUUCAGGAAGUUGGCCUUAGAGGAUUGACAGGAAAAAGACAUAUGAAAAUAGUGUUGAGAUGGAUGAGAGAGAGGCAGAAACUUAGGUUAAUCUGCAAUCAUAUAGGGCCUCACAAGCAAUUUCUUUACACAACUUGGUUCACGAAGCCUGCUGUCAAACAUGCAAAAGUCGUGAAUACUCCUUCACCACCGAGGUUCCCUUGAAAUUGCACAGUUUGUACUGCCUUGAGGAGCUUUUACAAAUUAUUGUAUCAUUCUAUUGUCUGUCUCUUACAAUCACCCAGUAAUUUAUGCGGAACAAGUUAAAUGUCAGCCAUCUUCAUGCUUAUUUGUUAUUCCUUACAAAUCCAAUGUAGGUACUUGAUGUUUGAGUAGCUUUUGAUUUGGUUGGUCGUUUGCUUAUCUGCUUUGUGCAGGCUAUUAAAACUAUAGAGUUGAUUUAUCUAGCUGUUGGAGAAGAUUUGAAGGUGACUGGACAUGAGAUUCUAUAGAUGAAAUGAAUUAGAAAUGGAGCUAAGCUCAGAAAUCUGCCUUGGAAUUCUAGUAA